rnacentral:rRNA from 1 species
UCUCGGGUGACGAGCGGCGGACGGGUGAGUAAUGUCUGGGAAACUGCCUGAUGGAGGGGGAUAACUACUGGAAACGGUAGCUAAUACCGCAUAACGUCGCAAGACCAAAGUGGGGGACCUUCGGGCCUCAUGCCAUCAGAUGUGCCCAGAUGGGAUUAGCUAGUAGGUGGGGUAACGGCUCACCUAGGCGACGAUCCCUAGCUGGUCUGAGAGGAUGACCAGCCACACUGGAACUGAGACACGGUCCAGACUCCUACGGGAGGCAGCAGUGGGGAAUAUUGCACAAUGGGCGCAAGCCUGAUGCAGCCAUGCCGCGUGUGUGAAGAAGGCCUUCGGGUUGUAAAGCACUUUCAGCGGGGAGGAAGGCGUUAAGGUUAAUAACCUUGUCGAUUGACGUUACCCGCAGAAGAAGCACCGGCUAACUCCGUGCCAGCAGCCGCGGUAAUACGGAGGGUGCAAGCGUUAAUCGGAAUUACUGGGCGUAAAGCGCACGCAGGCGGUCUGUCAAGUCGGAUGUGAA